rnacentral:rRNA from 1 species
AUUGAACGCUGGCGGCAGGCUUAACACAUGCAAGUCGAGCGAGCGGCGGACGGGUGAGUAAUGUCUGGGAAACUGCCUGAUGGAGGGGGAUAACUACGGGAAACGGUAGCUAAUACCGCAUACCAUCAGAUGUGCCCAGAUGUGAUUAGCUAGUCGGUGUGGUAAUGGCUCACCUAGGCGACGCUCCCUAGCUGGUCUGAGAGGAUGACCAGCCACACUGGAACUGAGAUACGGUCCAGACUCCUACGGUAGGCAGCAGUGGGGAAUAUUGCAAAAUGGGCGCAAGCCUGAUGCAGCCAUGCCGCGUGUGUGAAGAAGGCCUUCGGGUUGUAAAGCACUUUCAGCGAGGAGGCGUUACGCGCAGAAGAAGCACCGGCUAACUCCGUGCCAGCAGCCGCGGUAAUAC